CCGGGACCUGGGGAGUGAACGCCAAGCUGGGGCGAGGUUGGAGUGGAAUUUGAGCUUGCGCAUCGAGCGAUAGGGAUGGAGCAUGGCCGAGCGUGGGUCUAGGAAGCUUGGGAAGCCAGGGUUUACUAAGAGUCUCUGCGUGGACUAUUAAAUCUCUUCACCACUCGAUGAGGCACAUAUUAUUGUUACCGUUUACAGCUAAGGGCAAGUAUAGGUCACAGAGUUUUCUUCAUCAUCAUCACCAUCACCACAUCAGUAUCAUCAUCAUCCAUCAUCAUCAUCAUCAUCAUCAUCAUCCUGGGUGAGAAUCCAGUUCUUAAAGAAGAUGCUGUUUCAAUCCUUGGGAAAUACACAGCUCUUCACCUGCUGCCUGUUGACCCUGGACACGAGCUAUUCCUGAUUUCAUGCACUUUCCCUCUGAUGACAGAGAUGAAACCCAGAAGAGGUCCUUCCUGACACUGAAGGGCAAAAAGGCUGCUCAAGUUGGAAAACCUGACUGUCAAUCAGCGAUGCUUUCAGAGAAAGAUCUUAAUCAAAAGAGGGGAGUGAUAAAGAUGAACUGGAACUUUAAGCAAACAUAAUCAGUUGGGAAAGUCUAUGGGAGGAGCUAGGGCUUAUGGAAGUUCUUGCCUUCUGAGUAAUUGCGAAAACCCUUUAGGAGAGAGCUCUACAGAAAGAACUCUAUGUUUAUAAUAAAGUACUGUGGUUCUGAC